rnacentral:hammerhead_ribozyme from 1 species
ACACUACUGAAGAGUCCAAAACUAGGACGAAACGGUUGUUUAGUGU